AGCGCGGAGCUGCGGGGAGCGUGGGGAAGGAGAGCCGCGCUGAUCCCGCAGCUCGGGGAAGGAUGGCGCCAGAGCGCACACAGCUGCAGUGUGUCGCUGGCAGCUCACACAAAUCAAUCAAGAUUUCCUUCAAGCCUGGAAAUUUAAAGUUAGUUAUUUCAUUGCUUCACAGGAGUGAAAAAAAAAACCUGCAAAAGGGCCACAACAAAUGACGCAGCGUUUCAUGGAAAGUUUGCAAAAAGUACCAUGACCUAUUUAGGGUGCCUGUCAAGAAGCGAAAAAUUAUAUAAACAGCAACAAAAAUAAAUUGGAUUAAUUAUGACACAGAGAGAGGCAAUUUAUAUUUUCUCACCUGCAUCCAGUCUAAGCUCACUGAAAGCCGGUAAAGUGGGUUUACAGGUGACUGGAAAUAACUUUACGCAAGAUAUAUUAGUGAAAACAACCUGCAUGUCACCAGUGUGACCACAAAAGUGCGUCGAAGGAGAGAUGUGUUUCAAAUAAUAACAAACUUAUAUAUAUAGAUAUAUAUAAAAAUAACACGUCAGGCCUAUCAAAAAGUACAGAAAGUUAUUUAUCUAGAAAAGAAAUCAUGACAAAUAUUUUAAAACUUUGCACAUAUAGGAGCGUGUGCGUAAAUGUUCCAAAAGAUGCGUAAAUUUCUUAUUUUUAACACUUGACUUCCAGUGAAAUCAAUUAAAUUAAAUACGACAUUUUAAUAUUUGUGAUCCCUAUAUUUCUGUCUGAAUGUGUUGCUGCAGAAGUAAUUCUAAUAGUGCCGUGAUAACAGAGAUGAUGAAUGUCUAGAUGAGGGGUGAGGCAGUGGAAGCGCACAGAAGGACAAACAAUCUGAAGGUGUGCAGCCGCUCUGAUGGAGAAAUGAAGCGCGCACCGUGGAGCUGCUGGGACAGAGAGCCGAGGAGGAGGAGAGUCUGUCGGGCAGCAGCAGGAGCACCAAAACGGUCUGCAAGCGGUGUCACGUCUCAUUUUGGAGCGAUGUUCUUCAAAUACUUCAUCACCGGCCGUCUCGGUUUCACUGCAGACGCUGGCUGACCUCAAUAAGUGGCCUCACCAAUCACAGAUCAAAGUCGUCUGGUUUCCAGCUGGUCAGGUUAAUCAGGGGACCACCCCGAAGAACCAAUCAGGGACAGGACUUUGCAGGGCGACUGCCUUCCAUGUCGGGGGCCAAUCAAGAACAGAUGGAAGAGGUGAUGACCCCCCUCGCAGGCGAGAGCAACAGUGCGACUGCCACUCAAAAUCCCAGCGUGUGGAUGUGUGCGAGCGUGGAUUUGUGUGUCGGAGGACGACGGGGGGCUGUGUUAUGGCUCUGAGGGUGCUACGGUAAACAGGGUCCCCCAUACAAGGUUCUCUGCAUGGUUGACGGAGGAGGCUGCAGACGAUGCCUUUACCCUUUUCUUCUCCUUCCUCCCUCACUGUCGCCCCUCCACCACCUCCACCUCCUCCACUCCUCGCUCAGCGAUCGGGUUUCUCUCUGUCCAUCAGUGGAGAGGCAGAGGAGAAGAAGGGGAGGAGAUAGAUCAGUUGUCAGGGCCGUGGGCAGGACGGCGCACUGAAGCACGGCGUCUGCCUUUUGGCCUUCGCCUUGCGUGACACACAUACUCUGCCAUUCCUGCCUAACACAUUAGCAUGCAGCCUGCCCAUCAAUCAGCCAGUCAGCUCUCCCAUUCCGUCCUCCAGCUGUUGUUUCUUGUCGCGCUCGAGGUGAUGAUACAUGAGCAACAUUUUAAGGUAAUACAGCUCAGCUUUGCUGCCAAUGUUGAUGCCAACGGUAUGAGAAGGGAUUUAAACGAAUGAUAUACAUGUCAGUUUAAGUAAAGUUGUGACUCUGAAUGUGUACUUAAGCUUCAUUCAGACCUGAUUUGUUUUUAAAUAAAUGUAUACCAUUCUUUGUGAGAAUAGAAGUUUCCUUUAUUAAGCUGAUAAUUUUUUAUGUUGCCAAUCUCCAUUUCUAGUGAAUGUACACCUCAGCUCUCCUGCACUUCUGUGUGUAAAACCAAACAUUAUAAAUCUAAGUAAAACAUGAAUUUUGUCAAUGCAGAUUUACACACUAGACUGCAGUUUUAAUGAUGUGAAAGAAAAGACCUGAAAAUACAUGAAAAGCUACAAUAAAUACACUUUUUCAGAAAAAAAAUAAAUUUUAAAUGAUCAUUUAACCUUGCAUUGAAUAUAAUAAUAAAAUAAUGGGAAAAGAUACUUGAAUAUCUAUUAUUAAAUUUAUCAUUCUCUCUUUUAAACUAAAUUGCAGCUUUUCUCUUCUCUGUGUUCGACAACAGGAAAGUAAUAGAAAUCCUCAGUUAAACCUGGGGUAGGUAAAAAUCUGGAAAAGGGAUGCAAAGGGAUGCAAAAGCCAGAAUUGAAAAUAAAUUGCAACACUUUCCUCUCACCAGAUUCACUUCAAACAUGUAAAGACAAACAAGCUAAAAGUCAGCUUAAUUUGAGGCUUCACAAGGGAUUCAAACCCUGCUCUGCCGAGUCCACCAUCUAACCUAGUGCUUCACCAUUUCCUACUCAGUUUUAUUGAUCUUUAUACUAUCUAACCUGCUCCAGGUGAAAAGACUUGUGACUGGCUAAAACCUCCGAUCACAAGCUAAAUAUUCUAAAGCCUUAAAGUACAGACUACUGAAUACUGCCCCCUCUAGCUUCUAAAAAAAAUACAUGCAGUUUUGUACAUGUGUGAUGAAAUUGAACACUUUGUGGGUGUGAACAGCUGCAUACCAAUGACUUUUUCAGGAAGACUUGUUACACACCGUGGACACUCAACCAUUUACUUUGCGUUAUCUUCAGGAAGAAACUUCCUGUCCAGGAUGCUGCAGGCAUCGCUGGCAUAUUUUACAUACUUACUACAUUUGCGUGUCUCCAAGACACCCUGAGUGGUACAUAAUGGAUGCAUUCACAUAUCUACUAUGGGCUGUGUGCUUGUUCAUACAGACACAAAUACAAAAUCACACGCAAAAACACAAAGACCUAAACAUACAAGAAUGAAAGCAAAGACACAGAAGCAAAAGACCUAAAAAAGUCUAAAAAUAAAUGUAAAAUUAUGAAAUAAAAGCCCAUUUUCCCGGCAUGGAUCGAUACUGAGAUACAAAGUAAAUUGUUGAGGACAGGUCAGGGCUGUAUGGAUUUCGCCGGCGGCUUACGGAGCUUACAAAACAGAUUACUCUCCAGAGAAUGAAGUGAAAGUUAAACAAAAACAACACUGGUGUAAAUGAACUGUGAGUGAGGAUCUGGGUCUGAGGCAUGCAGUGUGUGUGUGUGUGUGUGUGUGUGUGUGUGUGUGUGUGUGUGUGUGUGUGUGUGUGUGUGUGUGUGUGUGUGUGUGUGUAGCGCCUGUUUGAACAUGAUGAUGACCAUGAUGAAAGUGAUGAUGAUUGGUUAAUUGCGGGCAGCUUGCAGUUGCCAUGUAGAGCUUAUUCUCUCUCUCGCUCUCUGUUUAGUGUGUGUGUGUUGUUCACAAGUUGUAGUGUGAAGGGAGUGGCCUGUGGUGGCUGUGAGAGGCAUGUAAUAUGUUUAAAUAGAGCAAAGUAGUGUUUGGAGAAUUGGUAAUUACUUACAUCCCUCUCUGACCAUAGGGACACUGUCCAGAUCCCCUUCUAACUCUCUCAUACACUGAUCCACACAUACACCAAAACACGUACACACCAGCAGGAAAUGCAGUCAAACACACAAAUACAAUCUGCCAAUCAACAAUCAUCAACAGAAGGCGACGUAAGAAGCUCACAAAGCAGAUUAGCAGUAAAGUUGGUAGUUAUAAUGUAAAAUGCCACCAACUUGUAAUUACAAAUGGAACUAAAAUAGUAAAUGAAAUGAUUUCUUUGUGCAAAACAAGCAAUUUCUUUGGGGUUUUCAGCGCUGAUCACCAAAGGUCACCAAAGACGAUCCCUGGCUGGCUGCAGCAAAACCUAAAACUCCUCUCACCUUAAUAUACGUUACUGUAGCUCUUUGUGUGGAAGAACGGCAAUAAAUUACAUUUAAAUAGCUAAAGUUUUCUGACUUUAACAUAACUUUUACAAUAGGAAAACAUUUGCUCAAAGUCCAGAGUAUUUAACAACAGCUUUGCUCAUAAUCCAGCUCUUGGCGACAGAAGGCAAAAUGAGAAGAUGUGUUAUGAGUUAUUAUGUUAUUUAACCACUAUUCUUAUAGUUCUGAGUCACAUCCACAGCAUCUUUAAGUCUACGCCUGACUUUGCUACUGUAUUAAUAUCGAUAAUGAUCCACCGCAGAGGGAAGCAAUGUCAAAAAUCCAGAGACAUGUAAAGACUGUUGUGGUGGUUUCUUGUCACAUUGCAGCAAAAUGUGCAAUUGAUAUGUUAGUGAUAUGUUUUGUCUGAGCUAUUUUUGUGGUGGAACCCAAAUUACCUGGAAAACAAACAGAGCUUUGUGGUUAACAUUGGCACAGGUGUAUUUUAACCUAAAGCAUGGUCUUUCCCUAAACGUAACCAAGUCGUUUUAGUGUCCAAACUUUACCAAAACUAAAGCAAAAGCAAACGGUGACUGAAAGUGCCAGAACAUAGCAACUGAAGUGGUCGAAAAGUAUCAGCUACUAAAAUGCAAAGCACAAAAAAAAGGUCCUACACUUGAGUUGAACUCCAGUCUACUGGGUGAAAGUCCUGUAUUUGGUCAGUCCCUCCAACCUUCUAAUGCAGAAUUUGCUGCUCGUAAUGUGGAUGCAGGGCAAUUGAGAAUUGACUAAAAACUGUUUCAGGGCAGUUUUGCUCGUCCCAACUACAGGAGAAAAAAGUAGUUCCACCAGGGUAGUGACCUUUAAUCAACCCUAAAAAAACUGCUGCAUAACGCUCAGUGCUGAUUGGUUAAACUCAGCAAAAACAACGAGCACCAUUUUUUAAAGCCAGCAACUGUAGCACUCUUCUCCUCUCAAGCAUCGCUAUCAACAACAUAAUAUUUGACGUGCCAGCUAACACAACAAACAGUAACACAGCAACAAACUUGGUUCACUACACUGGUUCUGCUGUUUUGAUGCACUCAGAAAUGACAUUGCAGUUUAAGCUGCUGCAGAAUUAUCACAGAUACUUUGCAAGUCCUGUGGAUCUUAACCAUAAUGGAAAUUAAGAGCAGAUUAGGUGGCUGUUCCUGUAAAAGUUCACCCAAAUAAAUUCACCUCUCAUCAUGGUGAUUCCAAUAAUUCUGCCGCAAGAUUUUGCUUUAAUGAGCGCUAAAGUUAACAGGCCUUUUGCUGUGUCCAAAUCUGUUUUUUUAAUCACAUAUCUGGACACAGUGCACUUCUUAGAACACCUCUUUUUUUUUUUUUUUUUUUACUUAACCUUUAUUUAACCAGGUCGGUGCCGUUGAGAUACAAUGACCUCUUUUUCAAGGGAAGCCUGGCCGAGACAGCAGCCGGAGAAACAUUAAAAUUGCAACAAUUAAAAACAGACAACACCAACUCACACAACAAAAUGAAUAAAAUGCAACAGGAUUAAGAAUUUACAUUCAAACAACAAGUGUGAUAAGUAGCUACUGCAAGAUCUUUCAUAUGGUUUUUAAAAGUUCCACUGGUGAUGAGGUGCUUUAAAGUCAAUGUGUUCUGCAGUGAGUUCCAGGCAGCAGGUGCAGAGUACUUAAAUCAGUGUUUCCCACAUUCAGAAAGAACCUUUGGCACGUUUAAUAAGUACAAAUCAUUGGAAGAUAUACCAUAAUUGCUGUAGGUUUUAGAAAUGUAGUCACAUAGAGAAUGUGGAAGUGCCACUAUUAUUGUGUAUGAAUGCUAUUGUAUGGCUUAAAUAAAUAAAUCCAUAUCCUGCUGGAAUAAAAUAUUGCAUACUUUUCUUGGAAGUCCAAAAUGCACUCAAGUAAAUAAACAAAAAUAAUCAUUAUUUGAUGAAUAAUUAAUUUGUGAAUAAUUGUGAAGCUUUUCAUGUGUCUUGAGUUGAGAAAACCGAAAUAAAGUCUUGACAAUUUUAGCGACAUGUAUUGAUGUAUAAAUAUAAUGUAAAUGUAAGAGAAAUGAACUAAAAGUGCCUGUGUGUGCGGGCUUGUAGAUGUGUGUGAGUGUGAUUUGGGUAAGAAGGUCACAGGUGGCGC